GGGGCAUCACGAAUGUCUGAUAAAUGAAUGAAUGAAUACAUACAUAGUUACUUCUCUUACCUAGGCAUGUCUGAUGUAAGCCUAACUGCUGGGCCUCUGCUUUGGUAUACCUGGCAGAAACUACCAGAGCAAACAAGAACACAAAAAUUUAUAAAAACCCAAUGCCUGCCCCCAAGGACAAUACAGGGGAGUAAGACAGAGAAGGAAAUCCUGAAUGGCCUGUUGAGAAAGGCUAAUGCAAGGAAACGAGUGUUAAAGGAGGUGGUGAAUCUAGCUGGUGAAGAAGCAUUGUGGAGAGAAGAAGAAGGAGGAGAAGAAGGACGAGAAGGAGGAGGAGAAGAACUGUGUCUUCAGAGGCUGUAA
rnacentral:lncRNA from 1 species